rnacentral:rRNA from 1 species
CCUACGGGAGGCAGCAGUAGGGAAUCUUCCGCAAUGGACGAAAGUCUGACGGAGCAACGCCGCGUGAGUGAUGAAGGCUUUCGGGUCGUAAAACUCUGUUGUUAGGGAAGAACAAGUGCUAGUUGAAUAGGCUGGCACCUUGACGGUACCUAACCAGAAAGCCACGGCUAACUACGUGCCAGCAGCCGCGGUAAU